CACGGACCACAUUUUUUUUGAAGAAUAUGAAAAUAAUGAUUCAUCUAUAUUUUAACAGAUUUGUGUAAUUACGUGAUUUUCCUACAAAUAUGUAAUAAUAGUUCGUUACUAUUUGAAAAAUAUCACCCACGAACUAAUAUUAGGGAAAAACGCUUCCAAGCAUUGACUUGGCAAAUAUCCUUCACCCCCAUUGACUCGAGGUAAAUAAAACACCCAUGAUUAAAUAACAUGGCGGUUGACAGUAAUCUGGGUUAGCAAGAAAUGUAGACAUUCAUCUCUACAUCUUUGCAAACCACUUAGUGCUGAAUUCUCGAAAAAAAAAGUAAAUUAGCUAUCUAUUCUACUGCUGAAAAAACAACGGAUUCCCGGUUUCUAGUUGUUCAUUGAUCUCAACGACAGAAUGAGCAACAUCUACAUUCAAGAGCCUCCAUCAAAUGGAAAGAGUGGUGCCAGAGUUCAUUGUCCAAGGAGGAGAUCCCACAGGCACCUGGACGGUGGAGAGUCCCAUCUAUGGACGGCAGUUCAAGGAUGAGUUCCACUCCAGACUGCACUUCAACAGAUGAGGCCUGGUUGCCAUGGCCAAUGCAGGGCCCCAUGACAACGGCAGCCAGUUCUUCUUCACCCUUGGCCGGGCAGAUGAGCUCAACAACAAACACACCAUCUUUGGAAAGGUGAUACAAUGUACAACAUGCUCAGGUUAGCAGAAGUGGAAUGUGAUCAGGAGGAAAGACAUUUAAAUCCACACAAGUUACGAACCACUGACGUGUUACAUUCUCCUUUUGAUGACAUCAUUCCACGUGAAACAAAAAAAUCCCAAAAGGAUGAAGACAAAAAAUAGGGCAAGAAAUCUGUCCAAAGCAACAGUGUUUAAUUUACUAUUAUACACACUUUCUCUGCUCCUCACUCUCAAUCUGUUGCUGACUUGGAAGCGUGGCACUGUAGUUAUGAACGGUCGACCAUACUUGUUUUGUCAGGAACUUUAGUCUGUUGUCAUUCGGAGAGGAAGCUGAGGAGGAAGAGGAGAUGGUAACUCAAGUCAGCCAGACACUGAAGGGGAAAAGCAAAAGCAGUCAUGACCUGCUGAAGGAUGAUCCACUGCUUAGCUCUGUCCCCACAGUCAACAAGUCAGUACACUAAGAUCUAGUACAGACACCAUGUUCUGCUGCCUCAACUUAUCUUGUUUUGACAAUGAAUUAAAUUCAUGCGUUAAUAUAUUAUUUAUUUGAAUCUAUUUGUCUUGUUAUUGAAGGAGAAAAGCCAAGGUGCAGCUGGAGAAGCAGCAGAGUUAUGCUCUUAUUCCUUCAUGUUAUCUGCUCAAUCAAGACCAAAUGCAUCACAUUAUAUUGCAUUCCAUUCAACUUGUUGGAAAACACAUUUUCUCUGAGUGUUCUCCAUUCUUUCUCUCAUCUCUCUCUCACAUUCUCUUGUGUUCAGGGAGAGGAUGAUGAGGCUGCGGAGGGAGAUGCGGAUGGCGAUGAAAAGGAGUAUGACUCUGAGAGGGAGGAAAUGAGUGAGAGGAUCUCUAAGAAGAUGGAGGAGAAGAAGAGUACAGACCCCAGUGAGGAGGACAGAGGGAAGAGGACCAACCGCAGGUUGAUUACACAAAAAUGAUAUACCAUCCACAGCAUAGCCUAAAUGCCUUUUACACACCUCUUUUUAAUUUGGGGAAUGUUUUCUCACAUGUUACGCUAUAAUAGCAUUGUUUACGUUACUUGUUCAUCAGAGUUUAUGCCACUUUUUCUUAAAGGCCCAAUGCAGCUGUUUUUAUAUUAUUAUCAAAUAAUUUCUGGAUAACAGUUAAGUACCUUACUAGCUAGGUUUCCAUCCAAUUGUCGACAGAUUUUUAUGCAUAAAAACAAUAUUUUCCCACCAGAGAUGUGUUUCUGUCAAAUUGACUUGUUGCAGAUUAAAGGCUGUAUGUGAUGAUAUAGUGCACAUAAAAAUACCUUUUGCGGUUAAAUUUC